rnacentral:rRNA from 1 species
CGAGGGGUGCAAGCGUUGCUCGGAAUUAUUGGGCGUAAAGGGUAGGUAGGUGGUCUCAUUUGUCUGGGGUGAAAUCCUUGGGCUUAACCCAAGAAGUGCCCCAGAAACGGUGAGACUCGAGUACUGGAGAGGGUCGUGGAAUUCCCGGUGUAGCGGUGAAAUGCGUAGAGAUCGGGAGGAACACCAGAGGCGAAGGCGGCGACCUGGACAGUGACUGACACUCAACUACGAAAGCGUGGGGAGCAAACAGGAUUAGAUACCCUGGUAGUCCACGCUGUAAACGAUGGGUACUAGGCUUGGUGGGUCUUGACCCCCGCCGAGCCGGAGCUAACGCAAUAAGUACCCCGCCUGGGAAGUACGGUCGCAAGACUA